rnacentral:rRNA from 1 species
AGUGAACGCUGGCGGUAGGCCUAACACAUGCAAGUCGAACGGCAGCACAGUAAGAGCUUGCUCUUACGGGUGGCGAGUGGCGGACGGGUGAGGAAUACAUCGGAAUCUACUUUUUCGUGGGGGAUAACGUAGGGAAACUUACGCUAAUACCGCAUACGACCUACGGGUGAAAGCAGGGGAUCUUCGGGCCUUGCGCGAUUGAAUGAGCCGAUGUCGGAUUAGCUAGUUGGCGGGGUAAAGGCCCACCAAGGCGACGAUCCGUAGCUGGUCUGAGAGGAUGAUCAGCCGCACUGGAACUGAGACACGGUCCAGACUCCUACGGGAGGCAGCAGUGGGGAAUAUUGGACAAUGGGCGCAAGCCUGAUCCAGCCAUACCGCGUGGGUGAAGAAGGCCUUCGGGUUGUAAAGCCCUUUUGUUGGGAAAGAAAAGCAGCAGGUUAAUACCCCGCUGUUCUGACGGUACCCAAAGAAUAAGCACCGGCUAACUUCGUG